CGGCCGCCGGCCCUCGCC
rnacentral:misc_RNA from 1 species